rnacentral:rRNA from 1 species
AGUCGUAGCCGAUGGACAACAGGUGGAGAUUCCUGUACUAUGAUAUGACAGAACUGUGGGGACACGUGCAGAGAGCGGAAGCCGGGAAUGGGAUCCCGGUGCAAGCGAGGUACCAGCCGCGUUGGAAAAACCGUGCGGCAAUGGGAAGACGUGAUGCGGAGUGAAGUUUAGUAAUGAAGUCCGUGAGCUGUGCGUCAAGAAAAGCCGCUAUUGUUCAUACCAUACCCGUACCGUAAACCGACACAGGUGGAUGAGGAGAGAAUCCUAAGGCCGGCGGAAGAAGCAUUGUCAAGGAACUCGGCAAAAUGACCCCGUAACUUCGGGAGAAGGGGUGCCUGCGAGAGCAGGCCGCAGAGAAUAGGCUCAAGCAACUGUUUAGCAAAAACACAGGUCUAUGCGAAACCGAAAGGUGAGGUAUAUGGGCUGACGCCUGCCCGGUGCUGGAAGGUUAAGAGGAGAGGUUAGCGCAAGCGAAGCUUUGAAUUUAAGCCCCAGUAAACGGCGGCCGUAACAAUAACGGUCCUAAGGUAGCGAAAUUCCUUGUCGGGUAAGUUCCGACCCGCACGAAAGGCGUAAUGAUUUGAGCGCUGUCUCGACAAUGCAUCCGGUGAAAUUGAAGUACCAGUGAAGAUGCUGGUUACCUGCGCCAGGACGGAAAGACCCCAUGGAGCUUUACUCCAGUUUGGUACUGGGAUCCGGUACUGCAUGUACAGGAUAGGUGGGAGGCUGAGAAUCGGUAACGCCAGUUGCCGAGGAGCCGCUGUUGGGAUACCACCCUUGCAGUAUUGGGUUUCUAACCAGCCGCCGUGACCCGGCGGUGGGACAAUGCCAGACGGGGAGUUUGACUGGGGCGGUCGCCUCCGAAAGGGUAACGGAGGCGCCCAAAGGUUCCCUCAGGAUGGACGGAAACCAUCCAAAGAGUGCAAAGGCAGAAGGGAGCUUGACUGCGACACCGACGGGUGGAGCAGGUACGAAAGUAGGGCUUAGUGAUCCGGUGGUAUUAAGUGGGAAUGCCAUCGCUCAACGGAUAAAAGCUACCCUGGGAUAACAGGCUUAUCACUCCCAAGAGUUCACAUCGACGGAGUGGUUUGGCACCUCGAUGUCGGCUCAUCGCAUCCUGGGGCUGUAGUAGGUCCCAAGGGUUGGGCUGUUCGCCCAUUAAAGCGGUACGCGAGCUGGGUUCAGAACGUCGUGAGACAGUUCGGUCCCUAUCCGGCGUGGGCGUAGGAUAUCUGAGAGGAGCUGCCCUUAGUACGAGAGGACCGGGAUGGACGGGCCGCUGGUGCACCGGUUAGACUGCCAAGUCUAUAGCCGGGUAGCCAAGCCCGGAAGGGAUAAACGCUGAAGGCAUCUAAGCGUGAAGCCCCCCUCAAGAUGAGAUAUCCCAUCCGAAAGGAGUAAACCCCCUUGAAGACGACGAGGUCGAUAGGGCAGAGGUGGAAGUGUGGUAACACAUGGAGCUGACUGCUACUAAUAGGGUGAGGGCUUGACCU